AUCAAAUUAAAAUCUAAAACCCAGGAAAUGGCAAUACUCAUCACAAAGGUACUGACAAAAGCCGAUAUAGAGAGUUGUUUAUCAUUCCCCACUUCUUCUAUAGGGCCAGUGCCGUUCCAAGAAGGCCAUUCCAUGGACAUGAACGUCCACGAUCAGAGCGGCCAAGAAUGGAUCUUCCCUUGCACAAUCCAGCGAAAUGACACCGUUGGGCGGGUCCUUUCAGUGGGCUGGGAGGAGUUUGCUCGUCGCAAGAAUCUUGCAGUAAAUGAUAAGGUUAUCUUUCUU
rnacentral:misc_RNA from 1 species